rnacentral:misc_RNA from 1 species
GUUUUGUUUUUCCAAGUCUGUUUGAUUAAUCUUUCAACACUUAAACAUAUUCAUGGUUAAUAGAGGGAAAGAUGAGUCAGUUUCAAUGUGCUGCUACCUUUGAACAGACAAUCUUUGUUUGAGAGCUCGUUAUCUUCCUGGCUUCUAGCUGCUACAAAAUCUUGGCAUAUUUAUUGAAAACAUGGAAUCCUGCACUUGGUGUGAUUCAAAAUAAUCUUCAGA